rnacentral:rRNA from 1 species
UACGAAGGGUGCGAGCGUUAUUCGGAAUGAUUGGGCGUAAAGGGUGCGCAGGCGGCAUGUUAAGUCAACUGUUAAAUCUUCUGGCCUAACUGGAAUUCAGCGGUAGAAACUGGCGUGCUUGAGGGUGGAAGAGAGAAGUGGAAUUCUCGGAGUAGCGGUAAAAUGCGUAGAUAUCGUAAGGAAGACCAGUGGCGAAGGCGGGUCUCUGGACAGUUCCUGACGCUGAGGCACGAAGGCCAGGGGAGCAAACGGG